AACGAACGCUGGCGGCGCGCCUAACACAUGCAAGUCGAACGAGAAGCUGUAGCAAUACAGUUGUACAGUGGCGAACGGGUGAGGAAUACAUGGGUGACCUACCCUCGAGUGGGGAAUAACCAGCCGAAAGGUUGGCUAAUACCGCGUACGUUUCCCAGUCCGCGGAUUGGGAAGGAAAGCGAUGCCGUGGGUAUCGCGCUCAAGGUUGGGCUCAUGUCCUAUCAGCUUGUUGGGAGGUAACGGCUCACCAAGGCGACGACGGGUAGCUGGUCUGAGAGGACGAUCAGCCACACUGGCACUGCGACACGGGCCAGACUCCUACGGGAGGCAGCAGUGAGGAAUAUUGCGCAAUGGGCGAAAGCCUGACGCAGCGACGCCGCGUGGGGGAUGAAGGUCUUCGGAUUGUAAACCCCUUUCGGGAGGGAAGAUGGGACGAGCAAUCGUUCGGACGGUACCUCCAGAAGCAGCCACGGCUAACUUCGUGCCAGCAGCCGCCGC
rnacentral:rRNA from 1 species